rnacentral:rRNA from 1 species
GAUGAACGCUGGCGGCGUGCCUAAUACAUGCAAGUCGAGCGAACAGACGAGGAGUUUUCUUCUCUGACGUUAGCGGCGGACGGGUGAGUCAUACGUGGAUAACCUAUCUAUAAGACUGGGAUCACUUCGGGAAACCUGAUCUAAUAUCGGAUAACAUGUUGAACCGCAUGGAUCAUCAGUGAAAGCCGUUCUUGAUGUCACUUAUAGAUGGUAGCUCGCCGCAUUAGCUAGUUGGUAAGGUAACGGCUUACCAAGGCAACGAUGCGUAGCCGACCUGAGAGGAUGAUCGGCCACACUGGAACUGAGACACGGUCCAGACUCCUACGGGAGGCAGCAGUAGGGAAUCUUCCGCAAUGGGCGAAAGCCUGACGGAGCAACGCCGCGUGAGUGAAGAAGGUCUUCGGAUCGUAAAACACUGUUAUUAGGGAAGAACGAAUGUGUGAGUAACUAUUCACGUCUUGACGUUACCUAAACAGAAAGCCACGGCUAACUACGUG